rnacentral:RNase_P_RNA from 1 species
UGUGAAGACUGGGUGAUCGCUCGAUACCUUCGUAUCGGGAGGAAAGUCCGGACUCCAAGGGCAGGGCGCUGGGUAACUCCCAGGCGGAGCAAUCCGACACCAGCACCACAGAAAACAAACCGCCGAUGGCCACGACGGCAGGAUAACAUCCAGCUGCUCCGGGUUCAGGUAAGGGUGAAACGGUGGGGUAAGAGCCCACCGCGGUGAUGGUGACAUCAACGGCACGGUAAGCGUCGCCCGGUGCAAGACCAAAUAGGAAGAUGCCUGCCCACUCGUAAGAGCGGUGCAGUACGGCUGGCCCGGCCGUCAUCUUCGGGUAGGUCGCUCGAGGUUCGAGGUAACUCGAAUCCCAGAGAAAUGAUCACCCAAGUAAAGGCUUACUACCUUUACAGGACAGAAUCCGGCUUAUAGGUCUUCACUCCCG